UACGGAGGGGGGCUAGCGUUGUUCGGAAUUACUGGGCGUAAAGCGCACGUAGGCGGCUUUGUAAGUUAGAGGUGAAAGCCCGGGGCUCAACUCCGGAAUUGCCUUUAAGACUGCAUCGCUAGAAUUGUGGAGAGGUGAGUGGAAUUCCGAGUGUAGAGGUGAAAUUCGUAGAUAUUCGGAAGAACACCAGUGGCGAAGGCGACUCACUGGACACAUAUUGACGCUGAGGUGCGAAAGCGUGGGGAGCAAACAGG
rnacentral:rRNA from 1 species